AGCGUAGGCGGUCUGAUUAGUCUGAUGUGAAAGCCCUGGGCUCAACCCAGGAAGUGCAUUGGAUACUGUCAGACUUGAAUACGGGAGAGGGUAGUGGAAUUCCUAGUGUAGGAGUGAAAUCCGUAGAUAUUAGGAGGAACACCGGUGGCGAAGGCGGCUACCUGGACCGAUAUUGACGCUGAGACGCGAAAGCGUGGGUAGCAAACA
rnacentral:rRNA from 1 species